UCAACAGAAAUUCUUGCCUAAAUCUUGCAAUGGAGAUAGUGUCAAUAAUGGAGUUGAAGUUUUCCUCUAUUGUCUAUGAAGAAGACACGGGGAUGACAGCGAAUCAUCGAGUAAUAACCAAGAUCAGCUAGAUAUAUGAACCUGCCUCAUUGUGGCUGUGCGGAGACAUUGAUGAUGAUGAGUCUCUCAUGUCACCAUGAGUUCCACCUCGGAGAAUAUUAGGCAAAGUAGUGGCUCAAACCGGCAGGAUUAGGAGCUGAAGGAGUGAAUG